GUGCUCACUUUGACAGCACAUAUACUAAAAUUGGAAUGAUACACAGAAGAUCAGCAUGGCCCCUGUGCAAGGAUGAUAUGCAAAUUCAUGAAGCGUUCCAUAUAAAA
ensembl:snRNA U6 U6 spliceosomal RNA